UACGUAGGGUGCGAGCGUUGUCCGGAAUUACUGGGCGUAAAGAGCUCGUAGGUGGUUUGUCGCGUUGUUCGUGAAAUCCCACGGCUUAACUGUGGGCGUGCGGGCGAUACGGGCAGACUGGAGUACUGCAGGGGAGACUGGAAUUCCUGGUGUAGCGGUGGAAUGCGCAGAUAUCAGGAGGAACACCGGUGGCGAAGGCGGGUCUCUGGGCCGAUACUGACGCUGAGGAGCGAAAGCGUGGGGAGCGAACAGG
rnacentral:rRNA from 1 species